rnacentral:lncRNA from 1 species
UUUUUAGUAAAAGGAAUUCCAUCAGUUCAUUUGGAGUCUGAUCAAUGCUGGGCGAACAGAUUAAAUUCUCUUUAGAGUAGCAAAUCUUAGGACUAUAAGCUGAAGUAGAACUAGAAAGUCCAGCCAUACCUAAGUCCAAGCUAGCCACUCUGGUCCUUUUCUCUGUUGUAUUCCAUUAAAGACCCUGAUAUCUGGGACUAGAGUUCCUGAGCACUCUAUACCCAUGACCUGGUCUGGAAGCAGCUCUUCUUAGCUGUCCUAUCAUGCCACAGUAACUCCGGGUCUCUGAGACAAGUGUCCUGAAACUCUUGAGUUCUCACAUGCCCUUUCAUCUUUCCCUCUUUUUUGAUCAAUCCAACCAAUUCAUGGCUUCCUGUUGAAUGUUAUUUUAUAAUAAUAUGGUUUAUGUUAUUAACACUCUUUAAUGUUAUUCAAGCCCAUCUUCUAUCAUGUCAUUGCUUAAAAAGCCUCAACAGUUCCUUAGGGUCAAGCCCACUGUGUGUGAGCUUCUUAACUGGGCAUUUAGAAUCCUCUCCAAUAUCCUCCACUACCUAUGAUUUAUAUUUUAGCCAAAAUGGACCCUUUAUAAUCUUGAACUUCAUUGCAUGUCUGCACUUCUAUACCAGUGCUGAAUCCCAAACUGAAAUCUGGUUCAUAUUUCAUGAAACAGCUGGUUUUUACACCCACAUCUUGAAAUCUCUUUCUAUUCCCUCACCUAGAUACAAACUCUUCAAGGGGCCAGUAGAGUAUAGUGGCUAAAAUCUUGGAUUCUAAAACCCAGCUGUCAAGGUUCAAAUCCCAGCCACACCAUGUGCUGACUGUGAGAUCAUAUACAAGUCUCUUUUCACUUCACAUCUGUUUCCUUAUCUGGAAAAUCAAGAAUAUUAAUCAGAUAUUAAAUGAGAUAAUAUACAUUUAAUCUAGUCCGUGGAACCCUGUAAGCAUGCAGCAACUGCGAGCUAUUAUGGCAGAUGCUGUUGCUAGCCCACCCACAUCCUCUUGGUAUUUGUCUCUACAUUCUCAACCUGUUUAUAGAAAACAUUCGUGACUCUCUGUAGUCAAGAUAGCAUGCUCAGCUCUCAUACAGGGCAGAGCAGAAGUUUCUGAGAUGUAAUCAGUCUCCCAAGAAGCGACACUCAGACAAUGACCAAUGGAGAGUCAGUGGAUGAAUACCCCUUGUUAGGAAUAACUCUGAACCCUAUUCUAGAGUGUGGACAGCAUAGAAUCUCUUAUUGUCUCCCAGACUUCCCCAGCAGGCUGUAACAUCAGUUGCCCGCAAUGGUAAUUGGCUUGGCAGAUACCUUCUGUCAGCUCCUUUGCCUUCCCUAACUUACUCUCCACUCUCUUUUAUGUAUUUCCUGGGAUCGUUUCCCAAAACUACUUGGAUUCUUGUCUCCGGGUUGGCUUCUGGAGGACUCUAAAACCAUAACUGCUCUUAUCACUACAGCUGACUUCUUUGAAACCAUGAAAAUACUGCUUUAUUUGCAUUCGUCUUCUGCUAGUUAGAGUCUACCUUCAUAAAACCUAAAAUCCAACAAAAAAUUAAGACCAAAAUACAAAUAUUUCUCACAGUACCUCUCACAUAGAAGUUACUCAAUCUGUAUUUAGAGAGCAAAGAAUAAUGGGAGAUCAAAAGAUUACUCUGUGACUAUAAAAAUAGAGCGAGGACUAUUGAUUGGUUACUAAGAAUAUUUUACAAACUUUUAUGGUUUGACACACCCUUUUAAUGGUGGUAUGUCUACCUAAUAUAUCUGCACCUUCCCAAAAUCCCCUCCCCUCGAUGUCAGCAUCAGGACUCCCCUCCUCCUCUAGCUAGAUUUGAGAGACACUUGCCAUUAUCUCAUCAUUAUUUUAUCAUGUUAAUGUACUUGUGUAACCUUUUAUAUUUUCUAAAUAUGAAAAAUAUUUUACAGAGAUUACAUUUGACGCAGCUGCUUCCUGAAGACCUAGAGAUCACUUUAAUCUUACAAGCACAUUCUUCAGAUUGUCGUGUGGGUGGGUAACUUCCGCCAGACUUUUCUGGAGAUGGCUAAUCCAGCCGUGGGAUGUGGUUUCUUCUAACAGCCAGUCAGGAAAAUCUUGCUUCUCAAACUCCUGUCUUGACCCCUUCCUGAACUUUGCCUCCUGGAUCUUGAGGUCUGCCUUCUGUGGAAGAGAAAUACUAGAAUCAAUGAACUGUGAACUAGAGCCCUGGGAUUAUCAACAGCUGAAAUUUUGAGAGCCACCUUAUAGAAAGCCUAACAGCAAAGACUGGAGAGAGGCUUCCAGCCAACAGCCAGCAAGGAAUUGAAGCCCUCAGUCCAAUAGCAGUGAGGAAUUGAAUCCUGCCAACAGCCUCGUGGAUGGGUUGCUUGCUGCCUGAAUCUAACUCCUGCUACUACUGCAAAUACCACUGCCAUGAAUAUCCUCAGCAAGACCCCCUUCCAGACCUGCAUGAACAACCGACUGCUUCAUGCUGGGCUUCAGACAUGAGAGGCUAGGAGUAGGAGGCAUGCCUUGUUCAAAGGUCUUAAAUGUGGGAAAUAGUCUACAGUUUGGAAGACACCAGAGAAAAAUGCUCCACAGCUCGCCCUGGUGACUCACUACAACUUAUGGGAAGAUGUGAGAUUAUUCUGUAUUCUAAUGUAUGUUAGAAGGCACACUCCACCCAAAGCCUUCCUGUGUGUUCCUCCCUGUGAGCUCACAUCCCGUUCACCAGCUGACUGGGAAGGGAAGUCAGGACCAGCCCUGACCCCAUCACACCAUCAUAACCUCGGGAUGGCAGGGCUGGAAGGCACCUCAGACGUCAUCCUUUGCAGACUCUUCAUUUUACAGUGAGAGGCAUGACGUGUCCACAGCUGGUUAGUGCCAAAGCCUGGGACAGGCUUCACAUUGUCCAGCUCUUAGUCAGAGCACUGUUGACAAUGUCUGCCUUCACUUGGAAUUCAGCACCUGCUUUCAGUAUAAACCCCUGCAUUUCACUAAAACUGAGCAGACUGCUGGUUUAAAAAAGAGAGGUCCAUCCAGCAGGGAUGAUGCUUUUCCUCGUUGAAAGAGGACAUUCACCUAAUGGGAGACCUGGAGUCAGAAUCUUUCUGAUGUGUGACUUGGCACAGUAACACAAUGCAGGAUGCUGGUGUGUUAAUAAAAAUAAAAAUUGCAUCGCCUACCUCAGAGUCGACAACAAUGUCAAGGAGUUAAUAGUCUUGGCAACACAGAGGCCACUGGACAGAGGCAUAACCUUGCGUGGCAGCUGCACGGGAAUUGGAUUUGGCUCAGGUGUUUCAGAUGACUAAGUUGGGAGCAUUUGACAAUUUUAGAUGUGGGAUGAAAAUUGCCUUAUCUAAGACAUAGGGCACCUGCAGAAGUAAAGAGAAACAGAACAAAGGGGACCACUCUUGGUAUAGAAGUUCAUCUCGUCGGGAGCAUCUGUGGUUCUUUUAUAAGCAAUGUACAUUCUACAAUAGAGGCAGACCCAGAAAUAAUUCAGAUAUUGGAGUUAGAAGAUCAGGAUUCUAAAAAAACCAAAAGAUCCUGCCUUACUAUGCACCUAUGGCCCUUCAAAGGCGAGAGUAGAAUCUGCUAUGAUUUAGAAGCAAGCAAUAAAAAGUACACAUCAGGUGAGUGGAUGCUAGCUAAGACCUUGGGCUUUGGGGUCAGACAGGCCUGGGUUUAAAUCCUGGCCCUGUCAUUCUGGGGAAACAUGUUUCUGCUUUCUCCUAUAUGAAAUAGAGGCAGUGGGUAUCCUGAACAUGUCACCUUUACUUGUCCAGCUUGUCAGUUAGGGUUUGGUUAGGGAAACAGAGCUGCUGUAAACAUUAUGGGAAUAAGGGAUUUUAUUCAGAAUUGGAGCCUGCACAGAUGUAGAAGGAGGCAUGAAGAGGGUAUUGGAGGAUUGCCCACUAUGCAGUCUGCAUCCUGAGUCUGUGGUGAGGCUGGACACGUUCAAGCUUACAGGAGAACUGGAGAAAGCAAGCAACACAGCGGUGGAAGUGAGACCACUGAAGCAGGGACAAGAGUGGAGGAGACAAACUGGACUCGGAACAAACUGGGAGCCUCUGCAUCCAUCCGUAACUGUCUGGCCGUGACAGUGGUUAGAGAGGAGUGGCUUCUGUGAAACUCUCACAAUCUCAAAUCUCCCACAAGUGCCUCUUUCAGCUAACUCUAAACUGGUACCAUAGAGGAAAUGGAUUCUGAAAACUUGGUCUCCAACCUUAGACAAAUUGAAUAAUUAAUAUGUCCUCUCCUGCUUCUUCUGUAACUGAAUUUGCAUUGGGAAGCAGGCCUGUCACUCUCAGACUUUGUGGUUUGAGUAGGGCUCACUUCAGCACCACCUUUUCCUCUUCUCAGCCCCACGGACUGGCAUGAGACUCAGGCCUGGCCAACUGAAUGUCACACACCUAUGACCAUCAGUUGGCUCAGAGAUGGACUCAGGACACCAUCACAGCCAAUGAAACCCUGUUAGGGAAAUUUGUCAGAACCAUACAAAGAAAUAGCUCCACUUUUCCAUAGAGAUGAGACAUAAGCCUGGACUAACUGGUGUCCAAUUUGCCAUCAAGAGAGCAUCUGAGAAGACAGAGGAAAACUGGGGAAAGCGAAGUCUAAGGAAGGUGAGUAAGGACAAGUCCAGUUGAUAUUACAUGAAUCACCUGGACCUGGAAAUCAAGGCAUUGCUGGAUUCAAGGCCAAGAAAAAUUGGAAGCUGGCUUGAAUCAGGUUCUAUCACUUGCAGUUGAAAAGGUCCAGACUAAUAUGAUAACAAAGGAGCAAGUAAGCAAGAUUCUGCCCUACAGUAAGUGCUCAAUGCAUGUCAGCUGGUAUUAUUAUUAUACAGACUUCUAUUUCUAGCCCUUUUAUUUCUACCACCUCUCUUCUGUGUUUUAUGUAAAGUGCAUAAGGAUUGUUCUGUUUGGAAACAUCAAACCAUAUAAAAUGACACCAGCAGGUCCCUUUCUGUCUGUCAGUGUCCACAAGCUCAACAACCAGGAUCAGCAGACAAAAACAGCUAAGCUGGAGUCAGUGUUUUUAUGAAGAAACAGGAAAAGAACUUACUUGGGAACUGUAGCUCAUCCUCCAAUAUUCUCCAUCCUAUCACUCUUUUCAUGACAGUUUCUUCUUGGCCCUGAAGUUGCCUUGUCAUGGCUCCCUGCCUCUGUCCUUUCUCUGUCUCACUUACAUCUUCCAAUGAGGAAUACAGCAAGACCUUUGGAUGAGGACCUCCAAAGGUCCUCAGUAUCCUUAGGACACUCGGUGCAGAACUAGAGGGACUGAGAGGAGGAGCUUUUGCAGGUUAAAUGACUAGUGAAUGGCCUUUCCUUAUAUUUCCAUUAGAAAUGGGAUUAGCUACACCUGAGAAGGAAUGACUUUGGAACAACUGAUCCCUAGCUUUCCAAAAUAUGAGAAAUUGAGAUGCAGGGAGUAGUAAGCACCUAGUUAAUGAGUCAAAGCAUAUUUAUAAAGUUCACAGGGUACAUAGCAUAUAGCAGCUGUUCUCUAUCUCAGUUGAGUUUUGACUAGGAAAUGGGCUUAGGAUAAAACACAUAGGCUUUUGAGUAAUCAUUUGUAAGAAAUUGUAGAUAGUGACCACAGUUUAAUAGCAUUAGAUAAAUUAUGAAAAGUCACUGAAAUACCUUCUCUGGAAAAUGUUAGAAGCUCAAGUACAAUGGCUUAGUUAAAGGCAGGUGGGGGAGAAACUUGAAGAAUGUGGUCCAGUACAAGAAUACCCCAUUUUUCCCCUAAGGCAAUGAAAAUGACAUGAAGUAAUCAUAGUUAUUUAUACAGGAACAAUUUAGGAGACUUAGAAUAUUCACUUCUUUUGCCUUCUAGCUGAGCAUCAAAAUUCUCUCUCUGUCUCUGCCUCUCUCUCUCUAUUUUCCACUUCUAGCUCCAACUAUUUUAAAUCCCUCCCCCAAUAGAACUCAUAACAAACAUAAAACAACAUUUGUUGUAUGUUUACAAUAGAUGUUCAAGCUAAUAUUUAUGUAGGCUUAGCCCUGGCAUUAAAUUAAGGUUUGGUUCACCAACAGGGUGCCUAGAGACUUCACCUCUAUUUCCAUGAGGGACUGAACAGCCUCUUGAGAAGGGACUCAUCAAAAUGGAAGAGUUGGCAAUAAGAAGUUUGGCUAAAUAACCAAGCACUGAAGUUGCAGAGGAGAAAGGAUUUGAAAGGCAGUACAGUGUCCAGGGGCAAGUUGGCAAUUUUUAGCAGGAGGUGAAGUGAUGCCAGCAGAGGUAACAGUGCUCAGAGGGACCAGUAGUCCCCAGGAGGAGCAGGGGAAUCCCCAGUGGAUCUGAUUUGUUCAAGAGCACAUGUGAGAUUAUCAGCUGGCGUUACAAUUUUGGAGUGGCAGUGAGAAGCAGUGAAUUUGAGGUCACUCAAUUUGCAGACCCCAAAGGGUGAAAUGUUGAGAAACAUGAGUUACACAUGUAUUUAACAGCUCUUGUGUAUUAUCACAAAUCCUAUUUCACCUCUCAUGCCCCCGAGGCUUUGGUGUCCAGUUCUCUGAAGACUUCAUCAAUCCUCAGCCAUAAAUCACCUGAGAGCAACUCACCUUGCUUCAUACUAUGAAGCUCCCUGAUGUCACAGCAUGGCAGGCCUGUGGCAACCCCUCAACACUUAUGCAUGAUCCCAAACAGCUAGAGGAUUAACACCUACGGUGUAACCCUUGACCAGCAGGAAAUGGAAAUUACUGUCUUUUUGUCCCCGCAGGUGAAUGGUUCUAAAAUGCAUUUUAUAAGCCUUCUGAAAUAGUCCCACAGGUCAAGCACCUACUUGCUCCAGUGGUGACCAACUCAAUGAUGCAUCCUUGGGUUGACUCUCCCUCCUUUCCAGUUCACUUUCCCCGCCCCUCACUCCUGCACCUCAGCAUCACAUUCCUGAAUAAACCACUCACACAUCUGUCUUAUUUCAGACUCUGUUUGGGGGAAUCCACAAUAAAAAUUUGUCAUUUUGAGUUAAACAUUGCUCUCACCUUGAAGACAUAUUUCCAUACCUAGAGAUUUCUGAAGUUCUCUCCCUUUUCCUAUCAUCUCCUUUGUGCUUUGUCUGACCUCCAUGUUACAGAGCCCCAUGAUAUUUAGAGCCAGUACUGCUAGGGAAGUAGUUCAGUUGUGUUUUAAAUGGUUCAGCAACUUGUAACAUCAACUGAGAACCAGAGGAAUACACUUGGAGGCCAAGAAAAAAAUGUUAGCUAAUAUGUACCAUACAGUAUGAUUCCUUGGGUAAGGGAAAGUAUAUGCAAGUGACAGAGGAAAAUUGAAAGUUGUAGCCCUUUUUUGGACUUUAGAUUUGGAAUUAAAGUUUCUCUUCUCUUGAAAGACCUUCUUUUUGUGGAUAAUGAUGAAUCUGAAGACCAGAACAGUGGGCCAAUUUGCCUUAGUUGAGAGUGGCAAAUAAAUGAAGAACUGAAGAACGUAUCUCUUUAACUAGUGCUCCUUUGUUGAGAAGAUACAAAACAAACAAUUGAAGGGUAUGGAUGAAGCCAUUGGCUUAUUCAUGUCUCUGUUGAUCAUAAUGAGAUUAAUAUAUAUAGGACAUUCACACAAAGAGGAUAUUGACUCGAUGGCUUACAGAUUAUUAGAGUUAGAAAUGUGACCUACUACUAAAGGAAGAAUGUUUCAGGUGUGGAUCUCUGAUUUAAAAAAUACACCACACUUGCCUCAGUGAAGCAAGUCAACUUAGGUGCUGAUACAAUGCCACUGCAGCUGUGCUGAGUUCAUGAAAUCAGAUCCCACUCUCUUCACCUACCCCUACCGUAUUCAUCCUACUUUCCGUCUGCUCUGCCCUUCCCAUUUGGUAACCUAGUCAUGAAACACCUGGCUCUGGGUCCUUCCUUCAGCAUCACUCCACGUUGUACUGCUGGCAUCGCUUUUCUUGGCACAGAACCUCUUAGGGCUGCUAUCCUAGGAGUAGGUGCUACUCAGGCUGGCUUAGUCCCAGGCUUCACUCACUUCUUGGCCCAUGGCCAGGAGGACCGGAAAGAACAAACUCUCUGCACAUCUCUGCAGGUGGCCACAGAGCCCCCAUCUGAGCCUUGCUGAUGGAGAAGAGCAUGCUGCAUCACAAGAUAACUGUGUGGCUCUGUUCAAAAACCUUGUUUAGAAGUUAUUAUUUCUUUUAUUGCAUUAGAAUUUGCCUCACUGUAGCUUUUGUGCUUCUGUCCUGGUUCAGCCUUAGAUAGCAGUGCAGCCUGGUCCAUGUGAAAGCUCUUGCAAUAGGCCUUUCUGCUAGUCAGGAGUUCUCAGACCCAUCCCUACUCUUCACUUUUCUCAAGACUAAUAUCAGACUCCUGGGCUCUUCAAGGUUUCCUCAUAUGAUAAAAGUUCUAAGCCCUCCAUUGUCCUAGUCACUGUCCUCUCUGUUCCAUCCCUGUCUGCCCUUCCAAGAUGCUGCACCUGGAGAUGAAUUUGUCCUUCCUGGGGCAAGUCACCAUGAGAUGAUUACUUUUGGAUCAUACUGAAUUUGUGGGUUAAAUAAACUCAUAGGUCUUUAUCUCAUGCACUAAAUCCAAAUUCGAUCUCUUGCCGUAAAUCAUUUUUUUGAAUAGCUGAACAAUAAGUAAAUAAUACACAAAUGAAAACUAAUCAAUAUUUGAACAUCCUCAGUAUUUUCAGCCCUAGUUUGAGCCAGACAUAGCUCAUCUUGUAUACUUCACUAAGGACACUUUAUACGAUCAAGCAAUUAAUAUUAUGAUGUCAUGUCUCGCAAGCCCCAUAGUGUCACUUCCAGUCUCUUCACCACAAAGAACGUUGAAGCCUUCGUAUUUUUUUGAAAAUCAUAUUUCUAGCUGCAGGAUGGGAUGUAAGAAAAGUUCAGAUUAGGAUUAUUCUAGGCUCCUGACUAUAACUAAAAUCCUGAUUUUUUAUGGAAAGGAAUGAGGAUCAUUCCUUCAAAUUAGAUUUUUGUGAUAAAAAGAAAAAAGUUGGUAAUCUAUUCAAAAUUGUAACAAAAAUAACUGCAUUUUUCUUUGGAAAAUAAUAGUUGAUUCCUUUUUGCUUUUUUUACUUAUGAAUUGGGGUGCAAUAGAGUUUAAUAAAAAUGAUGUGAAACACUCUUAUAAGGCUAAUUUAUCACAUUUGCUUCAAGGAAUUGUCCUUUCUAACAAAAUUGUGAAAUGGAACUGAACAGUAGCAUGAUGAGGCCUCUACCAGGAGGAGGUACAGAACAAGGCAGGAGGUCAGUGGUUAAAGGACUCCUUGCUUAUGCUCAAGAAAUGUGGACCUUAUUAGAGGUGACACAGUGAAAUCAGUCACCUGAUUUCGCAGGUGACUGUGGAGCAAGAAUGCAAAUCCACAAUAUUAGGAUGAAUGUGAGAGGAGAAGGGAAGGAGGCCAUGAGGGAAAAAAGGACAUCUAAUUGGGUCUGAAAGGAAGGGUAGAAUUUAAGUAAAGAGCACUGUGUACAUAUGGGAAUACCAUGUACUUUCUCAUGGAGAGAGGCCUUCUGACAGUCCUGCAUUGAUCCUGCUUCUUUGACCAUCCCUUGUUAGCCAGCAGGUCAUUUGGCCUCACUAGUUGCCUCAGUGCUGAGUGAUAGACUCAGCAGUCCCCAGCCUCUUUGGCACCAGGGACUGGUUUUGUGGAAGAUAAUUUUUCCAUGGAUCAGGGAGAGGAUGGUUUCAGGAGGAUUUAAGUGCAUUACAUUUACUGCGCACUUUAUUUCUAAUAUUAUUACAUUGUAAUCUAUAAUGAAAUAAUUAUACAAUUCACCAUAAUGUAGAAUCAGUGGGUGCCCUGAGCUUGUUUUCCUGCAACUAGAUGGUCCCAUCUGGGGGUGAUGGGAGACAGUGACAGAUCAUCAGGCAUUAGAUUCUCAUAAGGAAUGCACAACCUAGAUUCUUCACAUGUGCAGUUCACCAUGAGGUUCACGCUCCUAUGAGAAGCUAAUGCCUCCGCUUAAACGACACAGGAGAUGGAGCUCAGGUAGUAAUGAGUGAAAUGGGGAGCAGCUGUCAAUACAGAUGAAGCUUUGCUUGCUUGCUUGCCGCUCACCACCUGCUGUGCAGCCUGGUUCCUAACUGGUACUGGUCAGUGGCCUGUGGUUGGGAACUCCUGGUAGACUAACAACAGAACAAAGCCAAGUCUCAAGGAGAGACAGUUGUAUAGAUGCCUUCCUGCCCAUUCUCUGUUGUGGGGGCCAAAUCACACAAGACCUGCAUUUAAUUCUUUAUGGGCUUAGGCUGUGAAUUAAUGUAAAAUCUCAAGAAACCAAGAUGACAGGCCAGGGACUAAAGAGCAAAAGAAAGACCACAGCUAUGGUGGGCGAGGAGACAAAGUCAAUCCCACCGGGACAGAUGGUGAUGACCCUUAUCAGUUCUAUUCUGUCAUCUCAUAAAGGUAAAGACUUGUGUUCUUUUUCUUAGGACAGUCCAGAUGGUAUUGGCUGUGCUUAAAGAAAAUUCAGACAUGUGUGAGUGUGGCUGGAAUUGACAUUCAUGAGGUCUUCCGUUUUUAUUUGAAAGGGGCAGAGUAAGUAUUUGUGAACAUUGGAUGGUGAUGAAGAAAAGGAAAUGGUGUCUAGUAUCCUACCUGGCCUCAUGGACCAAGACUAGAAGGAUUAGAGGCAAAGUCGAAGGAAGCUGCCACCAUAAAGGGUUCUGUGAAUGCUGUUUGGCUGAAAUGUGUGACAAAGCACUGGGAAGGGUUUCAUUGCAUUAGCUCAGGCCAUAGCACGACCCUUAACCAACACCUUAAGGUGAUGGUCCCCUUGGCAUAAAUAUUGGUGUUAAAAUCGAGGUUAACCUUAGUGAUAGUAUGGUUAAGAGUCCCCUGCAUGACUUUGGAAGUUGAAGAUGCUGAUCAGGAGAACUAGAGCAGGAAAGAGAAAAUAUGACUGAGGCUAAGUGGUGACUUGGUAUUGACUGAUAGGUGAACACAGGAAUGAAUUUCAGCGAGAACCCCCAGUAACUGUCUGGGGAGUGGAGACUGUGUAUGAACAGGACAGAAAAAAAAGCAGAUUCGGGUAGUGUCCUGUCGUGUGUCUCUUUUACAGUCCUGAAAUGAAGGACUUUCAGUGUUUUCAUUGAGCACCAAUCAAUUCCCUCUUUACAAAAGACCAUAUUGGAACAGCAUCAAGGUUUAGGGAUAUUAAAGCAAUACAGUGACACUGGAAUGACCACUGAGAACCAGCGAACUUCUUCAGCCCUUAUAUCCUCAGGCACUCUGGAAGCCAUGAAUCUGGUUUUCUUGCUAAACUGUGUGUACUGCACAGAGUACAAUGGUAAAGGAACAAAUAUUGGCUCUAAAAUCUCUUGUAAAGGGAAGGGUGGUCAUCCCUUUAGAUGGCAAAUUGAGUUUCUGUAAUGGGGUUUGCUCUGAUGUUGCAUUUCCACUCAGGCAUCAAGACAUUCUGUUGUUUAAAGCCCUAGAUGGGUGAUAUUUCUUUCAUGUGCAAGGCCCGAAUGCUUCACUGAGCUCUCUCUUACCCACACACACUCAUUUAAACCUUGGUCAAAAUUAUCCUUUAGCAUCUGCAUCUUCUCAGAAGGCGGAAGGGUCAAUGGGGAUAAUCAGGAGAGAUGAGGUGCACUUUCAGAAGUUGGAGCUGAGAAGGUGAUGGAAGUAUCUGUAAAGUCGUUGAACAGCUGCACGAACUAUAGGGGAAGCAUUUCUGGAGGCAAAAGGGGAAUAGCCCUUUCCUCUUAAACCAAAGCGAGCACAGCUCCAAAGGCACUUAGAUGGAGAGUUCAUCGGAAUGUGAGCUCUAAGAGUGGCUGAGAAUCUGACAAAAACAGCCAUCUGCCAACCCAAAAUUAAAACUCCUCUGUUUAGCACCCAGUAGAGAAAGUCAACCAGAUUGACUUCGCAAACAAAGGACCUUAAAAGCAUCACCUAAGAAAGUGUGUCAGGAUCCACAGACAUCCAGAGCAUUCUCUAUGGUUCAUUACUUACAUUAUUCUUAUCUAUUUACACAUAAUGUUUAGAUGUAAAAUCCUUACAAUGAAAAGGGUGUAUAUGCUUUAAAAAAGGCACAACAGGGAUCUAGAACUAGAAAUACCAUUUGACCCAGCCAUCCCAUUACUGGGUAUAUACCCAAAUGAGUAUAAAUCAUGCUGCUAUAAAG